ACGCUCGACACCUACGGGAGGCAGCAGUGAGGAAUAUUGGUCAAUGGGCGCUAGCCUGAACCAGCCAAGUAGCGUGAAGGAUGAAGGCUCUAUGGGUCGUAAACUUCUUUUAUAUAAGAAUAAAGUGCAGUAUGUAUACUGUUUUGUAUGUAUUAUAUGAAUAAGGAUCGGCUAACUCCGUGCCACAGCCGCGGUAACUGAGCGGGCUGGCAAGGC
rnacentral:rRNA from 1 species